rnacentral:rRNA from 1 species
GUUAUAUGGUCAAGCGAAUAAGCGCACACGGUGGAUGCCUUGGCGGUCAGAGGCGAUGAAGGACGUGGCAGCCUGCGAAAAGUAUCGGGGAGCUGGCAACAAGCUUUGAUCCGGUAAUGUCCGAAUGGGGAAACCCACCCGCUUGCGGGUAUCCUGCAGUGAAUACAUAGCUGCUGGAAGCGAACCUGGUGAACUGAAAUAUCUAAGUAACCAGAGGAAAAGAAAUCAACCGAGAUUCCGUAAGUAGCGACGAGCGAACGCGGACUAGCCCUUAAGCUGAUUUGGUUCUAGGAAAACGCUCUGGAAAGAGCGGCCAUAGAAGGUGAUAGCCCUGUAUCUGAAAGGGCCAUUUCAGUGAAGACGAGUAGGGCGGGGCACGUGAAACCCUGUCUGAACAUGGGGGGACCAUCCUCCAAGGCUAAAUACUACUGACCGACCGAUAGUGAACCAGUACCGUGAGGGAAAGGCGAAAAGAACCCCGGAGAGGGGAGUGAAAUAGAUCCUGAAACCGUGUGCGUACAAGCAGUAGGAGCUCCGCAAGGAGUGACUGCGUACCUUUUGUAUAAUGGGUCAGCGACUUACUGUUCGUGGCAAGCUUAACCGUAUAGGGGAGGCGAAGGGAAACCGAGUCUGAUAAGGGCGCAUAGUCGCGGGCAGUAGACCCGAAACCGGGUGAUCUAGUCAUGGCCAGGGUGAAGGUGCCGUAACAGGUACUGGAGGCCCGAACCCACGUCUGUUGCAAAAGACGGGGAUGAGCUGUGAUUAGGAGUGAAAAGCUAAUCGAACCCGGAGAUAGCUGGUUCUCCUCGAAAGCUAUUUAGGUAGCGCCUCAUAUGUAUCCUCUCGGGGGUAGAGCACUGUUAUGGCUAGGGGGUCAUCGCGACUUACCAAACCAUUGCAAACUCCGAAUACCGAGACGGACUGUAUGGGAGACACACGGCGGGUGCUAACGUCCGUCGUGAAAAGGGAAACAACCCAGACCCACAGCUAAGGUCCCAAAUUCACUGCUAAGUGGAAAACCAUGUGGAAAGGCACAGACAGCCAGGAGGUUGGCUUAGAAGCAGCCACCCUUUAAAGAAAGCGUAAUAGCUCACUGGUCGAGUCGGUCUGCGGGGAAGAUUUAACGGGGCUAAGCAGUGAACCGAAGCUUGGGGUGUGCAUAUUUAUAUGUACGCGGUAGAGGAGCGUUCCGUAAGCCGUUGAAGGUGGAUUGAGAAGUCUGCUGGAGGUAUCGGAAGUGCGAAUGCUGACAUGAGUAACGAUAAUGCGGGUGAAAAACCCGCACGCCGAAAGCCCAAGGUUUCCUUGCGCAACGUUAAUCGGCGCAGGGUGAGUCGGCCCCUAAGGCGAGGACGAAAGUCGUAGUCGAUGGGAAGCAGGUUAAUAUUCCUGCACCUCGCGUAAGUGCGAUGGAGGGACGGAGAAGGUUAGGUGUACCAGGCGUUGGUUGUCCUGGGGAAAGGCGGUAGGUUUGGAUCUUUGGCAAAUCCGGGAUCCUUUAAGACCGAGCACCGAGACGAGCCUUUAAGGCGAAGUCACUGAUACCACGCUUCCAGGAAAAGCUCCUAAGCUUCAGCUUACGCAGACCGUACCGUAAACCGACACAGGUGGGUAGGAUGAGAAUUCUCAGGCGCUUGAGAGAACUCGGGUGAAGGAACUAGGCAACAUGGCACCGUAACUUCGGGAGAAGGUGCACCCUUUUUGGUGGCUCGUGCGAGCUAUAGCUGAAGAGGGUCGCAGUAACCAGGCCGCUGCGACUGUUUAUCAAAAACACAGCACUCUGCAAACACGAAAGUGGACGUAUAGGGUGUGACGCCUGCCCGGUGCUGGAAGGUUAAUUGAUGGGGUCAGCCGCAAGGCGAAGCUCUUGAUCGAAGCCCCAGUAAACGGCGGCCGUAACUAUAACGGUCCUAAGGUAGCGAAAUUCCUUGUCGGGUAAGUUCCGACCUGCACGAAUGGCGUAACGACAGCGGCGCUGUCUCCACCCGAGACUCAGUGAAAUUGAAAUCGCUGUGAAGAUGCAGCGUUCCCGUGGCAAGACGGAAAGACCCCGUGAACCUUUACUAUAGCUUUACACUGAACGUUGAGUUCGUCUGUGUAGGAUAGGUGGGAGGCUAUGAAACUGUGGCGCUAGCUGCAGUGGAGCCAUCCUUGAAAUACCACCCUGUCGUGCUUGACGUUCUAACCUGGGCCCAUUAUCUGGGUCGGGGACCGUGUAUGGUGGGUAGUUUGACUGGGGCGGUCUCCUCCUAAAGAGUAACGGAGGAGCUCGAAGGUACGCUCAGCGCGGUCGGACAUCGCGCACUGUGUGCAAAGGCAUAAGCGUGCUUGACUGCAAGAUCGACGGAUCAAGCAGGUAGGAAACUAGGACUUAGUGAUCCGGUGGUUCUGUAUGGAAGGGCCAUCGCUCAACGGAUAAAAGGUACUCCGGGGAUAACAGGCUGAUACCGCCCAAGAGUUCAUAUCGACGGCGGUGUUUGGCACCUCGAUGUCGGCUCAUCACAUCCUGGGGCUGUAGUCGGUCCCAAGGGUAUGGCUGUUCGCCAUUUAAAGUGGUACGCGAGCUGGGUUCAGAACGUCGUGAGACAGUUCGGUCCCUAUCUGCCAUGGGCGUUGGAGAUUUGAGAGGGGCUGCUCCUAGUACGAGAGGACCGGAGUGGACGAACCUCUGGUGUUCCGGUUGUCACGCCAGUGGCAUUGCCGGGUAGCUAUGUUCGGAAGCGAUAACCGCUGAAAGCAUCUAAGCGGGAAGCGCGCCUCAAGAUGAGAUCUCCCGGGGCACAAGCCCCCUGAAGGAACCAUAUAGACUAUGUGGUUGAUAGGUCAGGUGUGUAAGUACAGCAAUGUAUUGAGCUAACUGAUACUAAUGAUCCGUGUGGCUUGACCAUAUAACCU